AGAGUUUGAUCCUGGCUCAGGACGAACGCUGGCGGCGUGCUUAAUACAUGCAAGUCGACGAGAAAGUCAGCUUCGGCUGGCGAGUAAAGUGGCGAAUGGGUGAGUAACGCGUAGGUAACCUGCCUUUAGGAUGGGAAUAACUCUGCUAACGCGGGGCUAAUACCGAAUAAUGCUACGUCUUCGCAUGGAGAUGUAGUUAAAGAAGGGGAUUCUUAUGAACCUUUUACCUAAAGAUGGACCUGCGUUCCAUUAGUUUGUUGGUGAGGUAACUGCUCACCAAGACUACGAUGGAUAGCCGACCUGAGAGGGUGAUCGGCCACACUGGGAUUGAGAUACGGCCCAGACUCCUACGGGAGGCAGCAGUAGGGAAUAUUGCGCAAUGGCCUAAAGGUUGACGCAGCAACGCCGCGUGAUUGAUGAAGCUCUAAGGAGUGUAAAAAUCUGUUAGAAGGGAAGAAUAAUCCAGAUGUUAAUAAUUUCUGAAUCUGACGGUACCUUCAGAGAAAGCUCCGGCCAACUCCGUGCCAGCAGCCGCGGUAAUACGGGGGGAGCAAGCGUUGUCCGGAAUUACUGGGCGUAAAGGGCGUGUAGGCGGACUUGUAAGUCAGAAGUGAAAUUUGUCGGCUUAACCGGCAAACUGCUUUUGAUACUGCAAGUCUUGAGUAAGAUAGAGGAAAGCGGAAUUCCUGGUGUAGCGGUGAAAUGUGUAGAUAUCAGGAAGAACACCGGUAGCGAAGGCGGCUUUCUGGGUCUUUACUGACGCUGAGGCGCGAAAGCGUGGGUAGCAAACAGGAUUAGAUACCCUGGUAGUCCACGCCUUAAACGAUGAACACUAGGUGUUGAAGGUUCGACCCCUUCAGUGCCGAAGCUAACGCAUUAAGUGUUCCGCCUGGGGAGUACGAUCGCAAGGUUGAAACUCAAAGGAAUUGACGGGGGCCUGCACAAGCGGUGGAGCAUGUGGUUUAAUUCGAUCUACGCGAAGAACCUUACCGGGGUUUGAAACGCAGCUGAAACUCUGAGAAAUCAGAGCCCCUUCGGGCAGCUGUACAGGUGCUGCAUGGUUGUCGUCAGCUCGUGUCGUGAGAUGUUGGGUUAAGUCCCGCAACGAGCGCAACCCCUAUCCUUAUUUGCCAUCAGCUUUGGCUGGGAACUUUAAGGAGACUGCCGUUGAUAAGGCGGAGGAAGGUGGGGAUGACGUCAAAUCCUCAUGGCCUUUAUAUCCCGGGCUACACACGUGCUACAAUGGUCGGUACAGCGAGAUGCAAUACUGCGAGGUGGAGCAAAUCUCUUAAAACCGGUCUUAGUUCGGAUUGGAGUCUGUAACUCGACUCCAUGAAGUAGGAAUCGCUAGUAAUCGCGGAUCAGAAUGCCGCGGUGAAUACGUUCCCAGGCCUUGUACACACCGCCCGUCACGCCAUGGAAGUUGGGAGUACCCGAAGUCAUUAUGCUAACCCCGAGCAAUCGGGGGGGUAGAUGCCGAAGGUAAGACCAAUGACUGGGGCGAAGUCGUAACAAGGUA
rnacentral:rRNA from 1 species